AGUGAGCGCUGGCGGCGUGCUUAACACAUGCAAGUCGAACGAGAACGGAAUAUAGCUUGCUAUAUUUGUCAGCUAAGUGGCGCACGGGUGAGUAAUGUAUAGAUAUCCUGCCCUUAAGAAAGGAAUAACAGUUGGAAACGACUGCUAACGCCUUAUAUGCCUUUAAUACAUAAGUAUGCAAGGGAAACGCUUUAGUGCUUAAGGAUGGGUCUGUAUGGUAUCAGCUUGUUGGUGAGGUAAUGGCUCACCAAGGCUAUGACGCCUAACUGGUUUGAGAGGAUGAUCAGUCACACUGGAACUGAGACACGGUCCAGACUCCUACGGGAGGCAGCAGUGGGAAUAUUGCACAAUGGACGAAAGUCUGAUGCAGCAACGCCGCGUGGAGGAUGACACAUUUCGGUGCGUAAACUCCUUUUAUAUAGGAAGAUAAUGACGGUACUAUAUGAAUAAGCACCGGUUAACUCCGUGCCAGCCGCCGCCGUAA
rnacentral:rRNA from 1 species